CGUACAGCCGCCUUGGCGUUCUUCGAUGGCGCUGCGGGUACUAAUACCAUUUUGCCUCGAUUCACCAGCAGACUGCGACUCAACGGAAAGCAAGCUAUUCUGGGUUUCUGGUAUUGCAGGCGUGACCGUGCUGUGUGGUAAACCGGGCGUAUACCAUUACUGUUAAUUCGCGUCUGAGUGACAUGCCGAAGGGACACCAGCAGCGAAAGGAAAAGUAAUGAUAACAAAAAGGGUGAGCAAGCUUGGAGCACGGCGCAGAACUUGACGGUUGUGGAACGAACAGCAAAAAGAAUGAAAACUCUAUAAUAGAGUUUUCGUUUCUGCAGUGUUUGGUGCAUUUGGUUAUUCUAACUGGUUGAAACAUAAAAACAUUGUUAUGGGAAUACAUUGCGUAUAGAUCUCAUGUGUUAUUUCUGUAUUCAGUGCACUCUAUGGUGUGUUUAGACGGAGCAUCCAAGUGUACGUAAUAUUGUGCAUUCAGUUACUAUCGAUGGAUUUCGGUAGAGUACGUGUCCGCCGAAAUGCCAGACCCAGCUAAAUGUAGAUCAACAUAGUAACGCUGGUUAUCUAUUAUGGUAGUUAAAUGAUUUCAGCGCUAUCGAAUGCCUUUGACACAUCUAUAUGGUAAAGUGAAGCUUGACAGUAUUGCAAUCAUUUAAUGCAUCAAUUUGUGGGUUUACUACAAGUGUAGUGGACUAUUGAACCGUGAUUAGUGACUAUUGAUACAGCACAGGAUAUAGAACAGAAAUGUAUGUGCUGAUGCACGCCUAUAGAAUCGCUCGGGAGGAUAAUAUGUACUAUGAGCUAACCGUCACCGUUUUAGUUGCCUUUUCCUAAGAGUCGAGAUCACUUCAAUUAGCUGCUGUUCUGGCAAGGCAACGCUGGACUUCAACUUCCUAGCAAAAAAACGACAGGUGUAAGAACGUAACAGCGAGAAGCGCGUUGUGAGAGAUUGGCACGACAGCACUUCAGCGAUGUCAGGCUCGUCAAGAUGAAGAUUAGAGUUUUAGUCAGGCGUUGCUGUGGUCGCAGCCAUCGCGGCGAGUAUCCGGCGGUGUUCCUGAUAAUUUUUGCCAUCGGUUUGAGCUGAUCGAACCGGCGGCAAACUGCCGCGACACGAGAACUCACUCCUUUCUCUCUCAUUUCGACUUUUCUCAUUUCUUCUCAACUUCGCCGUCAUUCUCGCCUGCCUUGCCUAUGUGUUACUCUGUGAAGAAAUGGAACAUCGACUACAGCAACAAAACCACAGUUCCGGCACUUCCGAGGAGUCAGAGGACAACCGCAAGUCCAUCCUUCGAAGGACGAACUCGGUUGGUGACAACAAGAAGGAGGUCCGCUUCGCCGAGCAGCUCGAGAAAUCGAUCGAAAUCGAGAAUGCCACCAGGCGAAAGCCGAAACGGUCCCUGAGUCAGCCGCUUGUCUAUCGGCGACCGGUAGAGACUGUGAAGGAUCUCGUUAAGAGUUUCGUCGGAAACCGCGAUAAAACGAACGACCGUUCUCUGGGGAAUGCUGACAGGUCACUCGGCGGGGUCUAUAAGAAUCUUCUCUUUUCUGAGGUGGACUCAGACGAGGGCGGAGCAAACACUGUAAAGCAAGCAGGAUCUACUUCUACUCCGAAGUAUGGCUCACUGCCGCGGAGUUUUCGAACAACAGAGGAACAUGCGGCGACUUCAGAAAAGCAUCAGGAACGUCAUAAAAUACGUCGCACCAGAUCAUUGCAAGAGCGUCAAAGAAUCGCCGGUAAUUCCGGUAUAUCUGGUUCAAUAGUGCCUCAAGCGCCUUUUCGUCGUAGAGUCUUCAGCGAUUCGGAUGUAUUGUCAGAUGGAAAAACGGCGCAACCCCCAAGUAUGAAGACCCAACAACCAACGGAAGUCACAUUCUCAACUCCGUCUUCUUCACCUGUUGCAGCAGUACUGAGCAGUACAGCUUCUCUAAUGCCUCAAAUAGAAAUUAACUUGGUAGAACCCUCUUCCCAGCAGUUUCCUAAUUAUUUCAAGAAAUGCUCAAAACGAUCUAGUUCUGAUCCUGGGCCUUCGAGCCAAUCCGAGCCCCCUACACAGCUGCCCUUCCGUAUUGGAAGCCUAACAACGGUUAACCCUGUUUCAACAUCACCGACGGUCGCUGAACUGAAGCUACAACAGCUUCAGCUUAGUCUGCUACCCAAAACAAAAGUACGUAAAAGGCCACCAAAACUCGGCCAGCUUUACACCACGCUUUCUCCAGUAACUUCUGUAUCAACUGAAGACGAAUCUACGGAAGAGGCUUUCAAACAGAAGGCGAGCUUCAAAGUGACCACGGAUUUGCAUCGACCUUCUAUUUCAACUGGCGCACAAAUAUCAUCAAACAAUAUUCCCAAAACCCUUACAGCAAAAAUACCUACUGCUCCAGUAGAAAUAAAGAUCACUUCAAGCACUCCCACGUCGUCCGAGACACGAAGUCCUUUGCCAGAGUUCAAGAACAUGCCAAAAAUGAAUGAUUGCAGCGAAGUUUUGACGGAAGUUCUGCAAAAACUUAAAAUUCUUUCACAACAAGAAGCUGAAAUCGAUACAUCUUCACCAACUGAAGAGUCCAAGUCAGCAGCCCUUAUGUUUAAGGCUGACGAAGGCAUGCUGAUAAAGGCGGAAGAAGUUUUGAUGCAAGAAGUACAGACCGAGCCAGGAUUGAACACUCUUAACGCUGGUACGGUCCAUCAGAUCGGGAACAAUACAGCUAAGUAUUCAGAAGGGAAAUUAGAUCAUGUAGAUAUUGCGCAAGAGCGAUGGAGCAUCACAACCGCCGAAGAAGUUCAAAGAUCUCAAUUUAUAACGCCAAUUCAUAUAAUGGCACUUAAACCAAACGAGGGUUGCAGCGAGAAGGAGCGACUUGACGUGUUCCAACGGAAAACGGAACCCCGAUACAAACAAGUGAUCUGCGGAAGCUCCUUUGUAUCGCAUGCGUUCCGCAGCCUGCAGAAAAGUCCGACGUUGCAGUCGGAUUCAUUGGACUUAACGAGCUCAGGCGAAUCAGCUUCGGAAGCGACUUUUUCGUCGCUUGUCAGCGCCCCAAUGGAUGCAUCCCGUAUGCGAGGGGAAACAGAAGGCUUCCUCGUUGUGAGUCCUCCCUUAAGCUUUGAUACAUCGGAGUCCUUUAAACAGAUCGAUAGGUUCGAAGAUGGAACUGCGUCAACUUCGGCUGAUGUCGAGGGAGCUGAGACAAAUGGCGCGGUUGGAGAUGGCUCAUUUCCAACUCUAGACACGUCAGAAGACCUUCGAAUGGAUCCCGAAGAUGAAUAUGAACGCGAGGACGUCCAAAAGAAGGCGUUCGCUAAAUGGAUAAAUCAGCGUUUGGUACAAGGAGGCUAUGAACCGCUCAAAGAUCUCUUCCUCGAUCUACGAGAUGGCACUCGGCUUCUCCAGCUUCUCGAAGCGUUGUGCGGUCGCCCAUUUCCUAGGGAGAAAGGUCGUCUCCGGGUGCACCACAUGAACAAUGUCUCGCGCGCCUUGCAGGUGUUGGAUUCACAAAAUGUGAAACUGGUAAACAUCUCUACCAAUGACAUCGUUGACGGAAAUUCCAAACUUACGUUAGGUCUUAUUUGGAGCAUCAUUUUGCACUGGCAAGCGCAGGAUGUCCUUCGAGCUAACAAGUUGACGGGUCUGCACACUUCGUUAGAACGUACGCUACUCGCGUGGUGUCAGGAGAUAUGCGCGAAUUACGCAAAUUAUGUAACCGUGACGAACUUCACGACGAGUUGGCAAGAUGGCUGGGCUUUCAACGCACUGCUGCAUUACCAUUCGCCAGAUAUGUUUAAUUUUGAGAACCUGUUCUGUCUCAAAGGAGAGGAAAAACUCGAGCAUGCUUUUGAGGUGGCCCAUACAUCUUUUGGCAUCGAUAAGCUUCUUGACCCCGAGGAUAUGGCGAUUCCGGACCGGAAGUCCGUUAUGAUGUAUGUGAUGUGUCUGUACCAGAGACUACAUCAUUUGGCGCCCGCAGGGGCAAGUGCAACAAAAACAGCUACGCUAGAAGGUUAUAAGGCAUUGCUAGAGGAAACCCUUGCGCGGUUGCUCGAGGCUGAAGAACGAAUAAAAACUGCACCGGAGGCCUCGACAAAUGAAGAUGUCGACGUCGUUAAGCAGAUGUACUACGAACAUGAGGCUUUUAUGCAAGAGGUGCGGCGACUGCAAGAGAGCGCCGUUGACGUCCUUCGACAAGGACGAUCAAUAUUGAAAAAUGGCUCAAUCCCACUCCAGGAUGACGAAGCUCAAAAUCUAAACUCAGAGAUCUCCUACGUUAAUAAGAAGCUGCAGGAAUUGCGCGAUCAUAUAACUCAGCGACAAACCAAGCUAUACGAAGUCCUGAUGACGUUGCAGCAGCGACAGCUGACUAAAUUGCGCAACUGGCUGACGGAACGUGAAGAUGUUUUAAGUACAAUUGCUCAGCCUGGUCCGGAUUUCGAAUCGACAACAAAACAAGUUGACAUUCUACAGGAACUGCAGGAAGCUAUUGAGCAGCAACAGGAAUUGGUUACUUCACUCGGGAACAUGAUAAUUAAUGUGGACGAUCCUGACUUCACCGACCUCGAGGACCAACUGACGGCUAUUGGAGAAAGGUACACGAUGUUCUGCCAGCUGGUCGAAGAAAAUGGAGUGAAGCUUCAUCAAAUGCACGCAGUACUGCAGUUGAUGAUUUUCGAGGAAGAGUUUUUCUCGCAAUGGUUUCAGGAAAAGGAGGAUCUGCUUGCAACGCUUGAAGACCAGGCCAAUGCCGAAACAACCGCUGACGACACUAUGCUGAUUCAGAGCUUGCAGAAAAUGACCGAAGCUUUGAACAGUGAAAAUACGCGCCUAACACAGCUAUGUCGACAACUUCAGCUAACAGCUGAGAAACAAGAUAAGGGCUGUCAGGCCCUCAUGGAACUUACAAAAAGGUGUGAUGUAAUUGUAUGUCGGUGGGACGUCCUGAUUGACCGGAUGGAUGUAUUAGCUCGGCAGGUAGCUGGCCGAAACAAAGAUAAGAGUAAUUUGUGGCUGAAAAAAAUGCAGCUUACGCAGCUGCGUAAAGACCAAGCCGGCGGAAAGGAUCAGAUCGACUCGAUCCAGGCAAGUAGUAACAAGAAACGCAAACUAGAGCGAGGUGGAGUAUCACGAAAAAGCUCAUUUUCUGAACUUACCAAAGAAGUAUCGCUUGCAUUUAACACGCUCAAUCGUCUCGAGACGUUGGUGGGAAUUACGGGCGAGGGCGGGCGCGUCGGCACGUUUUGGGAGGGCAUGAGCGCGGAGGAGCAAAUCCGAAAACUCGAUGAAGCCGACAAAAUCAUCAAGAAGACUCGCCUCGAAAUUACCGUACAGGAUGCAAUAUGUGCCCUUGAUGAGCAUCUUAAAGGCAAGGUUGCCGAUGUGAGCGGAGACACGUUGAGACACAAGUCAGCCGAACUCGAACGACGUUGGUUAGCCGUUCAGACAUUGGUGCGUUCGCAACGGGAACGAGCGCUUGGGUUUUUGGAUAUUGAAAAUCUCAAAAACGGAAUGGAUAUGUUAGUUAAAGAUAUCGAAUCAAAACGACGUUUUAUUCAUUCCUGUGAAGAGCUCGUUAUCGAGGAUGACACUCCGGACUUGUCGAGUAGUCGCGAUCAGGUCAACAUUACGAAAAAGCUUUGGGAGUGUCAACAACGGCUGGCGACAGCGCAUAAACAGAAGGAACAAGUGCAACAGUUAUCGCAAGAUGCGACCGAUACCCAAGCAGCUCGGCCACUUUUGGCUGGAAACUCGGUUUUUGCAGAAUUCCAGGAGGUUGUGCAGGAGUGGCAUGAUACGCACCUAGAGAUGGAGGAGCUGGAAAGGCAGUUACAGGCCUCGCUACGAGAUGGGCCUCCGCCAAAACUGCUGAAGAGUGUCUCUCUACUUGACAAAUGGAUCGGCAGCAUUAACGCUACGUUGUUAGGGGAUUCGCUAGCCGUCAAAUCGUUAGAACAAAUGGAAGAGCAGCUAAAGAACUAUAUGGACUUUCAAGAGCAGGUGAAUAAGGAGGAAGGUAACCUUCACGAGUUGAACAACACUGCCGAAGAUCUGCUGCGGCUCGAGCAUAAACGACCAUGGGCGGACUCAUUCGAGCGACAGUUAGCCAAAAUGAACCAGUGUUGGCAUAGCGUGACCAAUACACUUUCUGAACGUAUUCGAGUGUUUAACCGGCAUGUCGACACGUUACGCAGUUUACGUGAUGAAAUGUGUUCGAUAAACUCCUGGAUGGACGGAAUUGCCGAAUUCGUUGAGGAUCAUGACAAGCGCUGGAGUAUGAUUGACCUCGAUAAGCUUGAAGAGCUGUUGGAUCAGACACAAAACCUGCGUUCGGACGUAGCAAUUUUGCAACCAAACGUGGAUAUGGUUAACCACAUGGCUGGCGAGAUAAGGAAAGUAGCCGAGCCAGCGUUCGCUAUUGAGCUUCAGAAAAGCGUCAAGGCUAUGAACCAACGAUGGGCGAAGAUCACAGAGGAAGCGUCAUCCAAGGCCUCGGCUCUAAAGGACGCAAUCCAUACGAACAAUUCAAUCACGGAAGAACUUCGAAACCUCUACAGAUGGAUUGAGCUGUUUGAAAAGGAAACGUUCCCAACAACGCCUAUGGAGCUCGGGGUGGACGUGCAGUCGCGGAUAAAGCACUUACAAGCGCAACGUGAAAAAAAGAAAGCUAAAGAUUUUGCACUGGAAAAGCUCGAACGGCAGAUGACUCAAAUGUUAAAGGCUGGCAAACUGGAAGAUGUUGAAGAUCUGAAGGAGGACCUCGAUACGAUCAAGGUGACCUGGACAGAAUUAGAUAGUCGUGUGGACAAAAUGGAAGAGGCCUUGAGAGGAGCCUUGCCGAAAUUGGCUACAUUCAAAAAUUUGAUCGUGAUGAAAAUCGAGUGGCUCAAUAAGCUUGAAAAGAAGCUCAAAAAGCUCCCACAGGCUGCCGUAGAUGCGGAGGAGGCUUCAGGGCUACUUGACGAACUAGAGACCUUAAUAGAGUCUGCCAAACCUGAGCGAAUACGGGAGAUUUCACAAAUCCGUGAUGACCUUCUUGGACUCAACGUGAUGACAGAAUACGUCCACACCGAAUCUGGCCGGAUCUUCGAACGAAAUCGGGAUUUACUGAAGCAAGCUACUGAAGGUAUCGAGCUUCUCGAACGAAUGAUAAAGGAGGCCCAGGACACAGAGGAUCGCAUUACGAUACUGACAAACAGCAUAGCCAAGAGCGAGGAAACUCUGAAGAAAGACAUUUCUAAGGAAGACAUAGAACAGAAGUGGGACGACAUGACUAGGGUUAAAGAAGUCAUUGAUAUCCUAUUUGCGCGAGCGAAGGAGUACGCGAACGAUGGCCGAUCCGAGGCAGCGAAAAGGAUCUCAGAACGUGUCGAGGUGUUUGCGAAGCGACACGCGGCUGUAGUGACAAAACUUCGUGCGAAUCUAAUUCCCGCCGAUUUCGAAGAAAAGCUUGCUAACGUGGAAGCUUCGCUGACAGCUGUCGAAACAACAUCUAAAGAAAUUGAGCUAACAACCCAUGAGUCCGAACUAAUUGAGCAGCAACUUAAGAAAUGUAUGGAUCUCUAUGGAGUGCUAAGCGCGAUGAAACCCGACAUGGAGAUCCUAAUAAGAAAUGGUCGAAACUACUCUGUUUAUUGCAAGGAUCCAGCUGAUCUUAACCGAAGGCUCGAUGUCAUCAAGGAACGUUAUAACGUCCUUGGUGAUAAUGUGCCUGCAACCAAAGUUAUGAUGGAAGAGGCUCUUGACUAUUCGAGGGAGGUGGAGGGACUCUAUAAUGCUUUGGCUCCGUGGCUAGAACAAGUUCGAAUGGAUUACUUCGAACCGGAAUAUGUGCAGAAAAUCCAGGGUGAAUUGGAUCAACGGCGUCAGUUAUUCCACCAGUUAUUUGAACGGUUCGACAAACUGAACGCCUUAUCAACAAAGGACCUUGCUUUGUUGAAGAAGUCUAUUGAGCCUCUAAAGGAAUGCUUUUUUGAAGCGGAGCAUUUAUUCGCGGUCGAGCGGCGUACUGAGGUGCGGCUAAAGUUAGAUAGCUUUAAUGGCAACUGCAUACGAAUCAAAACUUGGCUUGAGGGGGCCGAACUUUAUUUCGAGGCCAAGGAGGAGUACACAUCGUCACCGGCUGGACAACGCCGCCUUCACGGUCUAUACAACGAAAUGCACGAAUUGAACGAAGUGGUCAAGAAACUCCGUGAAGUGGCCAUUGAAUUAAUGAAGGCGGAUGACAAAUACACACUGCUUAUUCAACCGCAGCUAACGAAACUGAGUGAACGUUGGAAUUCAAUGGUUGACCGAUUGAGGGAAAGGGCUGGUGCAGGUCGAGAAGAUAUCCUUGUCGAGCUCAAAGCGUUCCUGGAACGAAUGGAGGCCGUGGAACAGCGCGUCAAUGACAUGUGCCUGAUUCAGAGUGACGACAACGUCCUGGAAGAAUGUGACUCUCUCGCUAGGAACCUGAGCGCAGAGACUGUCGUAAUGGAUGCCGCUGCAGGCGAGUUGGACAAGAAAAUCGCAUUGAGCGGGCUGUUUACGGUCGAAUGGUCUCAGGCUCGCGAGCGAUGGCUUCGAUGUCGGAAAAUGAUGGAAUCCACUCAAAGGAGAGCUGAGGAUGCUAGGGAAAAAUGGCAAAGUUUCGAAACUGAUAUCACAGAUAAGCGCGAAGCUGUGAAGAAGCUGCUAGAACAGCUAGUUCAGGCGUUGGACAACGCGAAGAACGGCGUUAAGGACAACUCGCUUGAGAGUGCAGCACGCGUCGGGGAUGAAGUCAACUUGGUGAAGAAGAAAGCGCAGGACCUUCAGGACCUCGGAAUACCUUCAAACGCGAUCCGGAACAAACUUGGCAAUCUUACUCUCAUAUGGAAUAAAGCACAACUACAAAUUGCUGAACUUAAAAACAUUCGCCGUAUUUCAAGUUCUCAUGGGGAUGUAUAUCCAUCUCGGGAGGACGAAGCAGGCCGCAUUAAGUACUCGACACCGCAGAGGCUCGAUAGCGCUUAUAGUUCGCCUACGUCUAGCCUGGCUGAAUACCAUGAGAAGGUAAAUAAUCUGCGCGACGUGUUAUCACAUUUACAGAGGAUGUUAGCUGACGAAAAUUUCACGGAGUUCGGAUUAGCCCAGCAGGAAUUACUUCAGACGAUCAAAGAGUCCAUCGCCUCGCUAAAAGUUCCGAUUGACAAUACAAAAAUGGAGCAUAAAACAGUCUAUGCAGCUAAUGAUGAUGAGGCUCAUAAGUUGACGUCUCUCGUUGAGGGCCUAUUAGAACAAUGGACUUCUUUGAAAAGUUCUUUCGCCACAGUCAACGAACGGUGGCUCAAGAACAAAGAGACAUGGUUACGAUUUAACUCGAAAUACAAAAAGUUCACCCAUUGGCUGGACACAAUGGAAGCUAAUAUGAAGGAGUCGACUGAGAAAGGCCGUCUGCAGUUGUCGCUGCUAAAAAAAAAGAUGCCGGACUACGAAUCGCAGGCUGCGGAGCAUCUUCCUGUCUACGACCGGACCAAACACCUCGGUCGGACGCUCCUUACCCAGUGUGGACCCGUGGACGUAUCUGACCUCGCUUCGAAACUCGAUCUGAUCGAAAAGCGGUGGAAAAGCCUUCUUCUCGAACUACAAAAGAGUAAAACUUAUGAAAAGCGACCAAAGAGCGGUGAACAACUCCGAGAGGACAUGCUUCAACUCCGCGCGUGGUUCAUGGAGGCCGAAACUUUACUGACGAUCAGCCCACCGCCACAGGAUUUGGCGGAAGGAUUUGAAAAGCUAGAAAAUGUCAAGCGAUGCGAGGCGGAGAUGGCUUCGAAACGCACGUGUUUCUUCAGUGUUCUGCUUAGCUCCGCGCCACAGAGAAUCGACAUUGACUCGCUUGGUGAUAAAUUCUCGAACCUUUGUCAACAACUGACCGAUUUCAGGGAGAAGCUGGAAGAUUACUUACGCCGGCUCGAACAAUUAAUGAACGAUGUCCAUGCCGAAGAGCGGCGCUUGGAUGAAUCACUGCUCGAUGCCGAACGGUUCGUAGCUGGGCGGCUCCUGUUAAGGUCAAGUUCGUUCAUCUGCAGGGAUUCACCAAGACGUGGCCGGCAGGAUUCGACCCGGAGGUCGUUGCGUUCUACGGCGCUAUCUGCUGUUGGCAUGCCGCUGCGUUUGCAACGAACAUCGCAGACGCCACUGACAUCAACGCCAGCGGGUUCGAGGGCGUCGGCGGAGUAUGAGCGGGACUCGUCGAGUUCUCUGACGAAGGCAUCCGAGACGUCCACGCAGACCGGGACCGAGACGCUGAUCGGGUCCGAAAUCGAAAUGAAGCUGAACGAGCAUGUGAUGUUGGAACAUUCUCGUAUGAUGCGCAACCUUCAGCGUAGGGUCCAGCAGCUGGAGAAGGUGUUCCCGUUGCUGCCGGGUUGCAAGACUGACUUCGAGCGUUGCGUCGCGUCGUGGCAGAGAUUGUGUGCCGUCGCUGCCAGGUGUGGCCCUCCGCUCGCCCUGCUCGUCGCUCAACAGACCUACCCCCGCCGAGACCACCCCGGUGCUGGUGACGUACUUCCACAGAUUGAGGGUAGCAUGGGUCUGGCUGAACUUUCCGAUGAACUCGGCGAACUGGAGACGUGGGUGGGGGCCCAGCACAAAAAGAUACUCGAGAUCGUUGUCGACUUUGGUGUUGAUGAUAGUGUCAAAGAGGCCCUGCAAGCCUACAAGGUGCUUCUUGAGGAACAUGUGGUGCGACGAAGCGCUCUGCGCCAGCUUAAUACGGCGCUGGAAUACUUGAGUGACGAAGCAGAAGAUCUAUACGAACAAGAAUUACAAGAAGUAUUUGAUCAGGGAACUGGAGGAGUCGGCGACGAUCACUCGAAGACGAAGUCCGAUAAAUCAGAGCACCGUCAGGGCGGGAUACGCGAAAGGACGUCGAACGAGCGCCGUGAGGCACUUCUAGAACUCCGCAAGAAAGCUGUGGAUGUCCAAGGCGCAUUGGAUUCGCUUGAAUUAGAAGCGAUGCAGCGGCGGCGCCAGCUCGAGUCUUUGGCUGCCGAAGGCGGUCGGACGUUCGAAGAGAGGCGUCGCGAGUUGGAGCAAUGGCUUGCCCGAAUGGAGAACCGCCUCGAUCGCCAGCCCCUCGUUGGCCAAACACUCGAUGUGCUCGAGACCCAACUCCGGGAACAUAGGCUAUCACACGCCGAGGUGGGACAGUGGAAAGCUGCGUUGGACACGGUCACACGAGUGGGUCAACGGUUAGCCGAAGAACUCGAGGCCCAACAACUCGCUGGGGGCCAGCCUGGUCAUACAGGAAGCUUGCCCCACAACCACAGCGGAAUCGCACAUCACCAGACCGCUGAGGAUUUACAUGUUAUCCUUGAUCGAAUCAACCAAAGAUUCCAGGACGUCAGUAUGAGCAUUCAGUCACGAGGUGGCCAACUCCAGGGUGCCCUAAACUCGUUGGCACAGCUGGAGCGCGCCGUGGAGCACUUCGUGGCGUGGCUUUGUGAUGCAGAAAGUUCGCUUGAGGUUAUUGAGGACGACGCCAGAAGACUUCCGCCUAGGGACGACAUACAUCGGCAGCUCCUGCAAAGGAUAAAGGAGCUGCAGCGCGAAAUUGACAGCCAACGGGAUUUGCAUCUAACGAUCAGCGACCGUGGCCAAAGUCUUAUUCAGGGGGUCACGGCACCGUCAGAGGAGGCGCUACUUCUCAAAAGCCGGGUAGACGAAAUGAACGCCAGGUGGGAUAACUUACGAUUACGGAUUGUCUCCAUCAGGACGCGCUUAGAGAAUGGCGCAGACCACUGGCACCAGUUAAUGCUGAGUCUACGAGAACUUGUCGAGUGGGUAGUCAAAAAGGAGACGGAAUUGGGAGCCCAGCCGCAAAUCGGGGGUGAUGUGGCAACGAUCAUGAGGCAACAGGACGACCACCGUGGAUUCCGCGUGCAGCUCGACGACAAACGGCCGAUCAUUGAGAGCGCCCUGCUUGCAGGACGGAACUUUUUGCAAAGGGAGGGCGCCGACAUGACGCCACCUGACCAAUUUGGGGAGCGUCGUUCGAGCAAUGGAGGCGCUCGUGGAGGGCCUGGUAGCGACCUACUCGCUAAUGAAGUCGGGCCGAAUGGCACUACCGUAGGCAGCAGCGAAGACUCUCAUGAAUUAGCUCGAUCAGUUCGCAGAGAUGUGACCAAAUUAACCGAAAAAUGGGAUCUUCUUGUCGCUCACACCGAUCAGCGUCACAGACGACUCGACGAUGUACUUAAUAAAAUGCAAGCCCUACAACGCGCCUUGGAUGAUUUCGGUAGUCGGCUGCUUACGGCCGAAACCGCCAAAGAGAACUGGCCGAGCGGGGUUCACGAUCUUUCAAUGGAUCAACUCGCUCAGCAGAUCGAUGAUCUCAAGGAUUUCCGCGAUCGAAUCGCACCGAUGCAAGGGGUCGUGGAUGGGAUGAAUGAGGCUGCGGCAGCAAUAACCGCCUGCGGGGUGGUCCUCUCGCAACAUAACCUUUCCAGACUUGAGGACCUGAACGGCCGCUGGAGGAUACUGCAGCUUGCGCUUGAAGAAAGGAGGAAACUAUUGGAGCACGCCCUUCUCGAUCAGGGCGCCAGUCAACAGACCUUCCUUAAUGCAUCGGUUGAUCCACCUUGGGAGCGAGCGGUUUCGGGCAACAAGGUGCCUUAUUAUAUAAAUCACCGGGCAGGCACGACUCACUGGGACCAUCCAAAGAUGCUCGACCUAAUGGACGCGUUGACCCAGUAUAACACUGUUAGAUUUGCUGCGUACCGGACUGCCAUGAAAAUUCGACAUCUUCAACGGGCACUAUGCUUGGAUUACGUGUCGAUGAACGUGGCGAUUUCGGCAUUCGAACAGCACGGCCUGCGCGCACAAAAUGACAAGGUGAUUGGAGUCAACGAAAUGGUACAGUGUUUAGCAGCCGUAUUCGAAGGAGUGAUUCGAGAACACGGCUCCGACGCUCUGCUUCGCCUGCCGCUAUGUGUUGACAUGUGUCUCAAUUUCCUACUCAAUCUAUACGAUACAGCCACUCGUACCGGGCACAUUCGUGUGCUAUCAUUCAAAGUCGGCAUCAUCCUGCUCUGCAGGGCCAAUCUAGAGGAUAAGUUCAAGUAUCUAUUCCGUUUGAUCGCGGACGUGAAUGGCUAUGCUGAUGAGAGGAAGUUAGGACUUUUGCUGCAUGACUGCGUGCAGACCCCCCGACUACUGGGGGAAGUGGCGGCUUUUGGCGGAUCAAACAUCGAGCCAUCAGUGCGUUCGUGUUUCGAACGAGCUGGCCCAGGCCGCCGGGAAAUCAACGUGCAGAUGUUCCUACAGUGGUUCAUGCAGGAGCCGCAGUCACUUGUCUGGCUACCCGUGCUACAUCGACUAGCAGCUGCCGAGUCAGCUAAACACCAGGCCAAAUGCAACAUUUGCAAGCAGUACCCCAUUGUCGGCUUUCGGUACCGCUGCCUAAAGUGCUUCAACACGGAUUUGUGUCAGAAUUGCUUCUUUUCUGGUCGGAGAGAAAAGGGCCAUAAGCUCGCUCAUCCCAUGCAGGAAUACUGCAUGGCGACAACAUCCGGUGAGGAUGUUCGAGACUUUACGAAGAUCAUGAAGAACAAGUUCAAAUCGAAACGCUACUUCAAGAAGCACCCACGAUUGGGCUACCUACCGGUGCAGACAGUGCUCGAGGGAGAUGACCUGGAGAGUCCGGCCCCUCGAUCGCCACCCACGCUUCAUCCAUCAUCGGAUCUACAUUCGCGGAUGGAGCAUUACGCCAAUAAGCUGGCGCAGGUUCAGCUCAGACCUCGAUCAAAUUCCACGCCGGAGUCCGGUUCUGAGGAUGAACAUAACUUGAUUAAGCAGUACUGUGCAGCGAUGAACGGAGACGCGCAUGGUCUCUCGACAAAUGGCUCACUUAGCGCCGGGUUAGGGGCAUCACCCAUUCCGCCCCCCCUUAGUGCAAUGGCAGUUGGUGUCGGCGCUGGCGGAAGCCUCGCCGGUCCAGGAUCGCUACCUGGGGCGUUACCUGGGGGACUAUCUGGGACGUUACCGGGCUCGUUGCCUGGCUCGAUGCCUGUCGUCGGACCGCCGCCCGGUGUCCUGUUGACCCCAUCAAGUCCGCCUACCAUGCCCUCCAUGUUCCUACAGCCUCGAAGCCCGGCGCAAGCGCCUACUCAGAUCCUCGCUGACCAGAAGGACGAGCUGCAAAUGAUGAUUCAUGAACUCGAACAUGAAAAUCGGCAACUUCAUGCGGAAUAUGAACGUCUACAGGAUUUACGAGCAAGCGAAGGCUUCUCGCCGAUGACACCUUCAAUUCUCGGCGUCGAUGGAGAGGUCGAUGGUUUAUCGACCCAAGACGAGGAGAUGUUAGCUGAGGCCAAGAUGCUCAGGGAACAUAAAGGACGCCUGGAGGCACGAAUGCGAAUGCUCGAGGAGCAGAAUCGCGCUCUGGAUGCGCAAUUACGUCGAUUACGGACACUUCUUGCCCAGCAUGAGGGCUCCCCAGUCAUCACUCCCGCUCUUGGCAGACCGGACCAUGCGGACUAUGUGGUCGCUGGCCACCCGAUGCUCAACGGCUCGACGCCGCGGCCAGGUUCCGCACUGAGUGGACAUAUAGAGCAAUCGUUUGUCCGUGAGACCGGUGAGGGAUGGAAGCAAUCUCCAAUGUGUGAAUACUAUCAAGGGCCAAUGACUGAGGAUGGUAGCAAGACGUUUGCGUCGUUGGAUGCCCCAAUGAACACUGAGCAAAGAUUCCACACCGGUAUUGUCGAUGAUGAUCAGGCCAAUGGAGAUGCAGAACGAAAACAGUACGUUACUGAACUGCCCCUGAACUGCAAGUCUUUGAGGCUUAUUUUUGUCGACGAAAAUUACCUAUCUAGUAAGAAGCUACCAAAAAGAGGCGAACAUGACUAGCUGAUAUUAAAAAGGCUAUAUUUUUAAGUCAAUAGAAACGUUUUUCCUGAUAGCAAAAGGUUACGGAGAAUGUAUGAUUGUAAAGUUACGAAAUCGGGUGACAAAGCUUUGUCUCCGUAUAAAUGAAAGGAUAAUGUCAUAGACACUGCAAUAAGAGUUCGUUUUACAAAAUACCAGUAUUAGUUUGUUGCACGCUACUCGUAAUGUAUUCGAAAUUGGUCAUUACUGCUCUACUUGUUGCUAGAGGCACUGAUGCCGAGAAACUUUAGUUUUCACAAGAAACAUUACGCAGAAUGUUAAUGUAUAAAAAAUCAACACCUUAGAUUUAAAGAAAUAAUCAAUAAUAUUGCAAACAUUAAGUCACAUAUCUACAAUAAUCUUAAAUGAAUUCGUCUAUACGGAACAACUAAACAGGGGCAUUAAUCCAAUUCAUAUGAAGUCGAAUGAUCCAUCAACAGCCGAAGAGGAAAAUCUAGAAACGUACCAAAAGCGAACGUAUAUAUGUUUUGAAGGUCUCUCCGGAACGACGUGUUAGACAAACAACAGAGUGGCUGACCCCUUCAAUACAUUCUUGUCUAGUUGAUACUCAGCCCAGAGGGAGGAACGACAGAAGCUGUCGAGUACAAACGCUUCUGCAAGCCAGAUAUGAGUCUUAGGCACUCGGUAUAAAAUAAUGGUCACUCAUAAAACCGUUAGAGGUGUCACGAUUACGAUAGGCACGCUCACCUAACAAGACAAGUACAAGCCAUUGAUGGAUACCCACCAUCGCCUCAUAUGUUAUGGCGUGAAGCGAAGUUACACAUAUUAAAAAGGCCUGUCGCAGAAGCCAGUCGCAUUAUGGGGAGCAAAAAAUUUUAAAGCGUUCAGGUUUCCAGUGAACGCAGGAUGAAAUUAGAUGAAAGAUGUCGUCUGCUUAACCUGAUGGCUGGCAAGUUGACAAAAGCUUCAAGCAGCCAUGUGUUAAUGAUACCAAAAAUAGUAGUAUGAUUGAUAAUACUAAUACCAAAAUGUAGGACUAGUAAAGACACUACACAAAGACAAUGACUAUGCUUUCUCCUUCCUACCAAAAAAUUAUAAAAAUUAAUGAAAUAAUGAUGAAAUUAUAAUGAUGACGAUAACACUACCGAGUUGCUGUGGUCCGCGCAGACAUUUGGAGUUACUCGAACAAGUAUUACAGGAUCUGUCCUGCACUGACGACGCUUCGGUCAUUUACAAUGUACAUAGCAGGUGAACGGCAGGUAGGCCUCCUAUGAGAGUAGCACUGAGCUGUUUAUCUAUUUGCAUACUAAAUAUAUAAUUAUAAAUAUUAAUACAAAUAAUAGUAUUAACGAUGAUAAAAUCUACAGACAUGUGGUGUUGCCUCGCUGGGGUGGGCCGACCAUGACUAGCUGCUGUGGACGUCAUGUAGGUAAGACUCAUGGCUAGAUAACAAUUACAAAAAAAAAGCCAAGAGAAAAUGGUGUAGAAAAACAUAGAUUAGAUUUAAAAGUUGGCAAGCUUGGCACAGUUUGAAAUUAGGUUGCCGUAAAGACGAAAAGUGUGCGUUUUAGGGCGUUUGUAGUAAAAGUAAACGACAUUUCUGAAGGGGGAAGGGGUUGUUGAAACGGUGUCUUCCUCUACAACGAUAUUAAAUUGUGGGCCGUUGUUCGGGUUGCCCAAAAACCUCACCUUUCGCUAUUUUAGAACACACAGCUAAGGUAAGAUGAUCAUUAGAAAGCAAACAAAGAUGCAGUUGGAUUCGAUAAUGUCUCAAUGAAGAUAGGGUGAUCAUGAGGCUACGAUAAGCAAACACAAAAAUGCAGAGGUAUAUAUAUAUGUAAAGGAUGAUAAAAGGCACAGGCAUCUAAGCAUAUCGGUGCUUCCAAUAAAGAGCAAAUGCAUCGGACCUUCUAUAGCGAACUCGUGUUGCUAAUUGUCCGGGCUUUGCUUGACGUUGGGGGCAUGGUCGACGAACAUAGCACAGCGUAUGCUCAUUCAGUUAUCGCGAUGUAGGUCCACCCCGGCAUUCAUGGGCUGACUUGCCCUCUCGACAACCGAUAACAAUAAUAACUACUAUUAUAAAAAUACAAUGGACUAUAAUGAACGGAUAAUGAUAAGACAGCUGUGUAACGUCAUGCGAUAAAACAAGUGAAAGCGAACUACUGAACAGGCGGAAAUGUCGGAACUAGCAAAGAUGUCCGAGCACAGACAAUGCGAGAGAAAGAGAGAGAGGAGGAACUAACAAACAGAAUAUACCUAGUUACAUUAUUUGAGUGUUAUGUGCCUUUUUGUAUAAGGUCUGAGUAUACUGUGACCGUAGACCUGUUUGAGUUUUUGUACAACUCCAUAAUGAUCAUAUUACAGGGAUAAAACGGAAAAUGCGAUUUAAUGACUAUGUGGCGUUCGUAAACAAGCCACCGCUGAAAUAAAGGGGCUGCUGAGAUAGUAUUCCCUAAUCCCUUACCUAUUACGGUACAAUGCAUAUAUAUACGCGUAUGUAGCGAUAACGUGGUAUAGAUACACAUAUGGCAGGUGCUUCAGACAUCAUAUACACGACACAUCCAGAUAGAAGCGAAACUGUAGCGAGCGGCGUACAAUAAACAAAAAAUCAGAGAAACACAAAAAAGAUGGGAAGUAAAGGAGGUACUUACAACCAAAACUGAGGACAAGCAAGCAACAGCUACGUUUGACUCGUUGCGAGCUAUUUAACGUAUUUACAAAAGAUAUAUUGACAAAACGGCUACACUGACGAUGGCUCUUUCGCCGUAGAUAUGCACAGAAGGUAAUUUUCGUAAUCAAUGACCCUUCGGGAACAGUCGUUCCCUCAGGUGGCUAACACACAGAAGGAUAUCACCACCUCAUGCCUCCUCCAAAUUAAGAAUAGUAUCCGUGAAAAAAAAGUAAUGACAAUAAGGCUAAUAAUAUGGCAAUAGAAUUACUAAGUUGCUAUUCACACAAAACGUUUGGGAGAAAUCGUUUUCAUAGAAAGGAAUACGCUGUGGACAAUGAUGUUACAAAACGAUUGAGUUAGAGCAGUAUAAUAUAGGCGAGCUGCUUAAGAACUUAUAUGCACAGCUUUUUCUUUGAAAAAUGUUUUUGGAAACGUUUUUGGAAGCCGGAAAGCAUAGGGGCUACCAUUUUCGGUAUGAUGAACUGGCUAGAAGGGCCAUGUCUCUACGAUGCCAACCUCCAUAGCGAUAUCUUCCUUGGUAUUGAGACCUGGGACCCGAACAUUCGCUACCAAUACUAUUAUCAUCGUUACACCCCUUAGUAUUCGCCUCUACGGCGACUAAAAGGGAUUGAACAUCUAAAGUAAGCUAUACGACACUCACACAUGGCGGUAUGGGGGGGAUGGGUGCCAUUUGCACCAAUUUAUUCUAUAGACACUAAAUAUAAACCCUUGAAAAAAUCGACAAGCAAACAAAUGUAACGUACGAUAUAGCUCGAACGUAGACAUCUCGUUGGCAGCGACGGUACCAGGCGUGGCAAACGUGGCAGACGCGCCGGAUUCUCAGGUGGCAUCGAGCGAUUGUCGCCACUUGUACGCUCGCCAUUACCUUUAGAGCUUCCGAAAGUAAUGAAGAGAGAGGAACUUCCAGUAUGCAAGUUCCUCUCUCUUCAUAUCCAGAUCAGGUCUUCCGUUCUGCCAAUCGUGUCUCGUGAACGCUAUCCUAACUUCAUUGAGCCGCGCAUAGCCUCCGUUAUUCGAACUCGAAAUCGUGCGAAAUAGAUAUAUCUAUCUUAAAAGAACGGAUAUACACCUGUGUGUAGAGUAUUGGUUCCAGCGGAAAGUAAGCCAGACUGUGGGCUAAUGUUUGAUGUAACAAUAACGAAUUGCAGAACUAAUCAUAAUGAACCUUCGAAGAGGGGGCAUAAUAGAGGUCACAGAUCAAGUAAACUGAUAUUGAAUAUAAAGGCCGAAUUUGGAGAAAAUAAAACCUGUGAACGAGUAUCGGUAGUAGUAGAAUGUGACACACACAAACACACAGACAUACACAUUAUGACUAUGAAUAAACAUGAAGAAGAAGCUGAAAAAUGUCUUAAACAAAUAACGACGAUGUCGAUGUUAUGGCAAUAAUAAUAAGAGUGAUUAUUAAAUUAAGAAUUCGAAAUAAUUUUCUAACAAGCAGUCAUAUUAGGAAGAAAUCUAAAGAGACAGAUUUCCAUCAAGUGAACGUUUGGAACAGCUCGUGUCAUUUGUGAUUUAGGCAUAAUCUAAGUUAAAAGGUACGAUCAAAGGUUUUAAAAGGCUUUGUCUGGUUAGAAAAAUAGUCGUUAGGUUACAUAUGAUUCGGUACUGCGGCUAAAAACAGCGUAUAGGCCUUUUACGGAUGAGACGAGUGCUAAUUUUGUGUCGCACACCUAGAUAACCCAUAUAUAUAUAUAUAUAUAUAUAUAUAUAUGGAAGAGUACAUUAUAAUUGCAUAUAAGAUGGUGGAGCUCUAACGAUGGGAGGGAAAAAGAACGAAAAUUGUACGAACGUCGCUUAGGAAAAGAAACUAAAACCGAACACAGAAAUCUCGAAAGCAUCUUGCGCUGCCGAAAAACAUUAUUCUACUUAAAAUUCUUAUAAAAGACAAACGAGCCAAUAACACACGCAUGAAUAAUGAUAACAAUAAUAAUAUUAGUGGUAUAAUAUAAGGGAUAAUGGGACGUACUUAAAAAUAAUAUGAAUCGAUGAAAGCGAAAUGGCAAGAAGCUAGCGUGUUGUCUGGCAGUGCAUUAUAAAUGACAAGGAACAAUAUGCCUGUUCAGGAGGAAUAACGAUGUGGGGCGAAAAUUUACAUAGUCACUUAUGAAUACUAACCAUUAUAAUAACAAUAAAAAUAAUAAUGAGGAGGCAGUUACGUGGCUCACGUAUUGGGCGUAUUACGAGAAAAUAUUCGACAUAAGCGAAGAGGGUGCGGAUAAAGGAAGGAACAUAAAAUGAAUGGGAAAUACUAUGUACAUGAUGAAAGAGUGACUUUGCAAAAAACGAUUUGAGCAGACGCCUGAACGAGGUACUUUGAAUUUUGGCGCCAUUCAUACGUCCUGCGUUGGAUGAGACGAAGGAGUAUCUUAUCAUUGUUGAGUAUAAAUGGAAAAUCGAAUAGCAAUGAGCGAGAAAACAACCCAACGGAACGGAAAGUCAACAAACCGAAAUAAGAAUAACAGACAAUAAACUCAAAUACGUGUACAUGAUCAAAAUCAUGCUUGUUGUCUGUUGAAAUUCUAACAAAAUACAUAGAAUAAAUUUCCUAGUGAUAUAAUAUACGUGUCAUAUAGUACAGACAAAGUUAGAAGUUAUCGUGUAAUAUCUGCAGAUCACGCAGGAGAAUCAUAUAACAAAUAAGGAAUGACAGAAUGUGUGAGUCAUUAUAAAAUGAGCUUUGAUCGAAGAGAGCUUUUUCGCGAAGAGAUGCACGCUAUUGACGAAUACGCUUAGACUAACGGGUGUUGUACCAGCGAUAGCUUAGUGGGUAACAUUUGUGGGCGCUAAUCUUAGGGACACGUAGUAUUGUAGGUUCUACGACUCACUGCGUCUCGUGGCAGCUGUGUGUGGUGGACUACUUAGGAUAUGUUUGCACGGGUUGAAUUUACUGCGAAAUAAUGAGGAUAGAUCUACCAUGCUGUUUACCAAUCCUGGCGACGGACCUGACCCAACACUCCAUUCAACCACAGUCAUCACGACCAGAGUGAU